rnacentral:lncRNA from 1 species
GUCGUACCAUUUAUCGCCUUGUCCUGGCUGUGCCCACCCAGCUGGAACGUAACCAGCCUUCAGCCUUACGAAAUCUGCAAUCCCUUCAAUCAAUUUCCCAAGAGUUUCGUCUUGUUGCCCAUUCCCGUUCCACUGCCAUACGUGAGUCAUCUCGUGGUAAAGCACCCCAUUGAAUUCUGGCUUUAGUUUAUCACCGCUAAAAGCUUCGAUAUGCUUAUCGCUUACUUGAAUCUUAUCGUUGCUUGUACGUGCAGGAAUUUGCGGUGGCAGGGUAUCGACGACGAAAAGGCUUACGGUUGAAAUACUGUUCCUCUUUCCAUCCUGCGGAUCAGUUUGUUGGAAGAGGUUCCAGAUGAAUUCCGAGGCCGAUUGCAUUUGUUGCCUCGUGUAUUCAACUCCGAGCUGG